rnacentral:miRNA from 1 species
AAGCUGACGGGGUGUAAUGACA